rfam:Jaapia argillacea MTCL 33604 unplaced genomic scaffold JAAARscaffold_19, whole genome shotgun sequence.
GCUUGCUUGGCUCAGCUGGUUAGAGCGCCGGUCUCAUACUAGUGUAUGAACGUCACGUGACGUGCGAUCCGGAGAUCACCAGUUCGAUCCUGGUAGCGAGCA